rnacentral:misc_RNA from 1 species
AAGUCGUAACAAGGUUUCCGUAGGUGAACCUGCGGAAGGAUCAUUGACACACAACUGAUCUUCAACCACAAACCUGAUACGUUGGCGUUGUGCGGGGGAGUGGAUCACUCCACCCCUCCGCACACACAAUAUAUCAAACCUUCUUUACGCUUCACUGCGUAAAGGCCUAAAAACCUAAACAAAAAAAUCCAAAACAAAAAAAAAUCAAAAAUAUUCAACGAUGGAUAUCUUGGUUCCCAUACCGAUGAAGAACGCAGC